AGAUCCAACGCCCAAGGAAGUCAUUCCGUACUACGUAGACUACGAUAAUUGCUUCGUAAUUGAUGUGGAGUAUCAUGGACACCAAUGCACACUGUGGACACAUAGAGAGCUGAAGGACGCAGUGCCACAAAACUGCAUCGACCAUUUUGUGGACACGUGUGGCGUCAUAGUGCCAGAGCACAGCAGAGACUUGUGUCCGGACGGCGAAGGUGACUACUAGUGACAAAGGCGGUGUUUCGACUGACUGGAUAUGAACGGGAUGUUAGAUGGACACCAGGAAUAAGGAUUGAAGAUGGACCAGGCGAACGUCAGUUCCUCCUAUCUGCUUGUUUGUCGCUUACCGACACGUUCCUCACAGCGUCCUAUGGUUCAGUGCGCCGAGAUGUAUGGGUACAUAAUAA